rnacentral:lncRNA from 10 species
AUUAAGGAACAAAAGUUGGGCCAGGCAUGGCUCAUGCCUGUAAUCCCAACACUUUGAGAAGUUAAGGCAGGAGGCCUUAGGAGUUGAACUUGAGCCCAGGAGUUCGAGACCAGUCUGGGCAACAAAGAGAGACCCUAUCUCAAAAAAAAAAAUAAAAAUGAUAAAACCAGCUGGCCAUGAUGGCACACAAUUGUAGUCCUAGCUACUCAGAGGCUGAGGUGGGUGCAUCGCUUGGACCUGAGAGUUCGAGGCUGCAGUGAGCCAUGAUUACACUUACACUUACUGCACUCCAGCCUGGGUGACAAAGCAAAACCCUGUCUCAAAAACAUAUUUAAAAAGAAGAAAAGUUAUUUAAUGAUAUUUGCUAUCACUGCUAAAACCUGGUAAGAAAGACUUUCUUCAGGAUCAUCUCGACAGGCAUAGGGACUACUGCAAUGGGAUUUUGCAGUGUGGGAGAGAGAUUGGGCUGAACUCUGAAUACAACCUGGACAAGUGGGAAUUUCUAGCCCAGGAGCAUGGUGGGGGUCAGUUGAUGGAAAAUUACAAGGAAUAAACAUCAAGGAUAAGGGGAAUUCUGGCUAAGCUGACCUAACGGGUUUCUUACUGAAGACAGGCCAGGGUGAUCAGACUAUAUCUGUGGAAUGGUGGAGGUGGAAGAUCUUGAUCAAAUAUAGACGAGAUAAUGAGGGUGGGGAGUUCUUGCUAAACUGACUUGGCCGGGAUCUUGCUAAACUGAACUUUACAAGGAAGUGCACAGAUGGGCCCAGGAGAAGGUUCAGGAGCCUGACUAAAGUUUAAUCAAAAAAGAAUCUUUGUCAUUCUGCAAGCUCAGAGGGACUCUUGGGUGAUCAAUAAUAAUUUAGCUCCAUUUUCUUUUGUUUGUCCAAUGUUGUACUUUAAAGAACACAUGGCUCAGCUGGCAAAGGGAGGACAAAAUGAUUGUAAAUAGCUUUGCUUUUCCUCACUGAAAGCCUUUUUAGGUUUUGAAGCCUCUAAUGAAGGGAGAAGACACUGGCUCCACACUCCAGGUACAGAGCUGUUUUUGAUAAGAUGAAAAGGAUGUUUUUCUUACCAGGUAUCAUUCUCUUCAGAAGUAAUGUUUCCUACACAAAGUGACUGCAUGUCAAAUGUGCAAUUUGUCUCUCCAGAGCACAGUGACUGGCUUCUUCGUUCCUGAUAUAAUGGCUAGCUCUGGAUUUUUCUUGGUAAUUUCUAUAUCUCUGUUUUCCUCUCAAUUGUAAUAUUCCUGCAUCAGAAGACGAACUCAGAAGUUGUGGUCCUGGGCUUUUCAGGCAUCUUUGUUUGCUUCUUUUCAUUCCAAAGCUUUUGCUAGGAACAGGGAAGCUGACACAUCAGCAGGCGAGGACCCUUCAAUAGUGUGGAGAGUGAGGGAAGGUUGAACACCAGGAAGCUGAAGAAUAGCUGUAUAUUCAUUAAGCCCCAAAGAGUGUGUUUUUGUUUUGUUUUGAUGCUAAGGAAAGGCAGGUGGCUCAAACCCAGGGCAGUGUCUUUGUCUCCACAGGAUAAGCCUAUUUAACUCAGCUUAGUUCAUAUCUUCAGAUGCAAUCCUUAGCAGACCAGUGACCUCGGGGAACCCUAAAGCCAGACAGACCACCUAUGAAGGUAGCUUGUGGUGACUUGAAGGCUUAUCUCUAGGAGCUAUGACCUUUGAGCCCUGCAGUCAGGAGAUCCUUUGCAAAUUUUCUGGAGCCCUUAAGUCCUCCAGGAUAGUCAAGUGAUCCGAGGCCAAUGAACGAUGACUGAUAUCACAUAUCUCUUCAUCUUCCCAAUUCUUGCCAGCUUAGUUCCAGCCUUUUAGAAGCCUCCUCUAGUCCUCAGCUUGCGGCCCCGUCCUCCAUCUCCAAAGAGACAGCAUCUUCUCUCCUCUCUGACCUCUGCUUCUAUUGUCACAUCCUCUUUGA